UACGUAGGUGGCAAGCGUUGUCCGGAUUUAUUGGGCUUAAAGGGUGCGUAGGCGGCUUUGUAAGUCAGUGGUGAAAUAUGGCAGCUCAACUGUGAGGGUGCCAUUGAUACUGCAGAGCUUGAGUACAGAUGAGGUAGGCGGAAUUGACGGUGUAGCGGUGAAAUGCUUAGAUAUCGUCAAGAACACCGAUAGCGAAGGCAGCUUACUGGGCUGUAACUGACGCUGAGGCACGAAAGUGUGGGGAGCAAACAGG
rnacentral:rRNA from 1 species